rnacentral:tRNA from 1 species
CAAAAUUUAACAUAUUAAAAUGUGUCUCACUUACAUUGAGAAAAUAAUUAUUGUUUAAUUAAUUUUGA